rnacentral:rRNA from 1 species
AUUGAACGCUGGCGGCAUGCCUUACACAUGCAAGUCGAACGGUAACAGGUCUUCGGAUGCUGACGAGUGGCGAACGGGUGAGUAAUACAUCGGAACGUGCCUAGUAGUGGGGGAUAACUACUCGAAAGAGUGGCUAAUACCGCAUGAGAUCUACGGAUGAAAGCAGGGGAUCGCAAGACCUUGUGCUACUAGAGCGGCCGAUGGCAGAUUAGGUAGUUGGUGGGAUAAAAGCUUACCAAGCCGACGAUCUGUAGCUGGUCUGAGAGGACGAUCAGCCACACUGGGACUGAGAAACAGCCCAGACUCCUACGGGAGGCAGCAGUGGGGAAUUUUGGACAAUGGGCGCAAGCCUGAUUCAGCAAUGCCGCGUGCAGGAUGAAGGCCUUCGGGUUGUAAACUGCUUUCGUACGGAACGAAAAGCCCUGGGUUAAUACCCUGGGGUCAUGACGGUACCGUAAGAAUAAGCACCGGCUAACUACGUGCCAGCCGCCGCCGUAACAC